AGAGUUUGAUCCUGGCUCAGAACGAACGCUGGCGGCAGGCUUAACACAUGCAAGUCGAGCGAACUGAUGGACUUCGGUCCUGAAGUUAGCGGCGGACGGGUGAGUAACGCGUGGGAACGUGCCCUUGGGUAAGGAACAACCGUUGGAAACGACGGCUAAUACCUUAUGAUGUCUUUCGGGACCAAAGAUUUAUCGCCCAGGGAUCGGCCCGCGUUGGAUUAGGUAGUUGGUGGGGUAAUGGCCUACCAAGCCUACGAGCCAUAGCUGGUUUGAGAGGAUGAUCAGCCACACUGGGACUGAGACACGGCCCAGACUCCUACGGGAGGCAGCAGUGGGGAAUCUUGGACAAUGGGGGCAACCCUGAUCCAGCCAUGCCGCGUGAACGAUGAAGG
rnacentral:rRNA from 1 species